rnacentral:scRNA from 1 species
CAUGUGCCAGACGCACUGUACAGCGAGUACAU